AUAAAAUGCAGCAAGUAAAAUCCACCAAACCUGACUGUUGGCAUCUGUUUUGACCUAACCUAAGCUGUGCAGUAAUGCUUUGCAACAAGUUUGGUGGUUAUCUGGACCCUGAACAACACAAAAGUCGCCAGAUCCCCAGAGAGCAUUUCUCACAACUUUGCAAACACUGUUUUGAUGUGUCUGGUUUUUGAUGACGCAGUACGUUUCAGUGAUCAAGGGCAGUUCAGAAGAGAACAGUAAAGCCAUGAGGUGACACGCCAUUGUUUUUCCCCAUAUUCCUCCCCUGUGCAUUUUGAUUCCUGCCAGAGAAAGGAUGGACCUAUUGAAGUACUAUAUGAGAGAGGCCAUUAGACCCUGAGCUGGUCAUCACUCUAUUGUGAAA